rnacentral:rRNA from 1 species
GAUGAACGCUGGCGGCGUGCUUAACACAUGCAAGUCGAACGGAAAGGCCGAAGCUUGCUUCGGUACUCGAGUGGCGAACGGGUGAGUAACACGUGGGUGAUCUGCCCUGUACUUCGGGAUAAGCUUGGGAAACUGGGUCUAAUACCGGAUAUGACGAUCUCUUGGAUGGGGUUGUGGAAAGCUUUUGCGGUAUGGGAUGAGCUCGCGGCCUAUCAGCUUGUUGGUGGGGUAAUGGCCUACCAAGGCGUCGACGGGUAGCCGGCCUGAGAGGGUGUACGGCCACAUUGGGACUGAGAUACGGCCCAGACUCCUACGGGAGGCAGCAGUGGGGAAUAUUGCACAAUGGGCGCAGGCCUGAGGCAGCGACGCCGCGUGGGGGAUGACGGCCUUCGGGUUGUAAACUCCUUUCGCAAUCGACGAAGCCUUUUGGUGACGGUAGGUGGAGAAGAAGCACCGGCUAACUACGUG